rnacentral:lncRNA from 1 species
CUGGAUUUCAAUCAAGAGAAAAUACUGUCUAUGGCAGCACUUUGUGCAUCCAAAGCUGUGCACAGAACAGCGGCUCCAGUUUAGUGAGCCCUCACUAGAUAAUGGUGCUGUCCUUAGGGUUGUGCAUGUGUGGCUCAUUCUGUCUGUGCUUUGGCCGGAUGCUGAAGUGACUCUCUCUUGAGAAACCUGCACCCAUGUCCUAGGCUCACAGAUCUGUGUGACUUCAAGAAAUGCAGCGUUUAAAGGGAGACAAAAGAGACCGGGACGACAGCACAGGAUGUUGGUGAUUACGUCAGAGGAUGUUCUUUUCCUCUGAAGAUGCGCUGACAUUUCUAAGAGUAAGAUGGCACAAUACGACAGGCUGAUCUCCAGAUGGCUUAGCUGAGGAGAAGUGAGAAUGCCAGCCUAGAAGGAGCAAAGGAGAGCCAGUGUGGGAAGUGCUUGCCAGCCUCUGCCUCUGCCCGAAUGGACACACGGACACUCGCUGCACUCUUCUUUCCAUUUCCCUCAGGUAUCUCUGCCUCUCUUCACUGCUACAAACAAACAGCAAACUGCAAACUCCUGGCAGUGCUGCUGGGAUGAAGAUUGAGAGGAUACAGCCAGACUGGCUCUCUUCCCCACGAAAACAUCUGGUAUGAAUCAGGCCUUGCAGGCCCCUAGAGACAGCAGCUCUCGAACCCAACCCAGCCUUAUGGCUUAAGGGCUUUGACACCUGGGGAAGAUGACUCUUGCCUGUGAACAACAACUGCAGGAUGGGCUGUGUAAGCGCAGACAAGAGAACAAAGAAGAAACAAGAGCUUCCCAAGCUUUUGGGUGCUGUAUUGGUGAUCACAGAUUUGUCCCAUGACUCUAAUGUCAGAAGGUCCCUCUUGUGUUGGCUGUGAGCAUUGUCUUGCUUCUGCACCUUGAAACAUGAGACCUGAUUUUGGUUUCAUUAUAUCACCCAGGACGGCUUGAAGCUCACUAUGUAGCCCAGGCUGGUUUUGAAU